ensembl:lncRNA
AUUUUCACUGGCAGUUCUGGCAGCACGCGCUCGGCUACAACCGGUUGCUAGGAGACGCUGCGUUUCAGUUUCCGAGGUAAAAAAGCUCAAGUUAUUUUUCAGACAGUACAAUUUUAUUUGAAGUGCAUUUUCAAGACGGGAAUACAUUAAUGAAAAGGUAAUACACUUUUAAAUGUUUUGUUAAGAUAUGUUGUGUCACAACUUGUUGAGCAACUAGCUGGCUAACUAUAUAACGUAUAACUUUUUGUCUUUAUAAAUAGCACGAACGUGUAAAGAUAAGGUAUAAUGAUUAUCUAAUACGAGAAAGAAUUGAAAAUUAGGAUAAAUUAUACAACAUUACAAAAUUCAAUUAAUAGAACUGAACUAAGACAUGUAAGCUGAUUGACGUUAUUUUUAUUAAGACGUAAAAAUUAUUUUACAAAUAUUUUGCAGAUCAAACAUUAACUCUUUGUCCAGUCUUGAGACAAAUGCUGAAGCAAAUAUUUAUAGAAAUGAGGCAAAAAGUGUGUUUUCCCCAAUGUUAAGCAUAUUUGGAUUAAAAAAAAAAAAACCUUUAAUAUGAUUUACUGUUUUUGUUUCCUAGGAUUACCAAUAUAUGAAGCACCUUUAUGAAACCAAUCAGAAGAGAAGAAGGCUUCUUUCUUACCUUGCCAGGUGAGCCCUGUCAUCACAGAUUUCCCCCGCAUCCUGACAAAACCCAGCUGUGUUGGGUCUCAAAUAGACUUUCACUUUCCUCUUCUCUGCAAACUGCCCCCUAAAUCCAUGUCUCAACAAAGACCUACAGAAUGAGCCGGGGUCAGAGCACAAGCCCAAACAUUUCCUCCUUAGAUAAAUCAGUGAACACAAUGCCUCUUCCAAAACUUAAAGCCAGGCGUGGGAUUGUCAGAAAGCCCAUCGUAGCCUCUCUCGCAGGGACCACCAAAGCAGUAUCCUUGUCCCAAAGGCCGCAACCUCCUGCUAAGCCCAGAUCAGAGAGGCCUUUAUCAGCAGGUGGAUCUUACAAACCUCGCACACUUGCUCAGCAGGUUUCAGGUGAGGAGAAGAAAACCUCCAGCACUCAUCCGUCCACUUUCUUCGGAGGACAGAACCGGCUGGAUUUGGGCAGUUGUAAUGACAACGGGGUGUCAGGCUCUGUGAAUACAGCACAGAAUGGGAAUAGACGAGCACAGAGAGGAAAGAGUGAAAAAUUUGGGGAGCCUCAUAAACAUCAAACUCUCUCCAAACACAGCAGUUCCCAGAGUCACACCAGCAGCAUCCAGAGCGUCAAAUCCACCUCUGAGCUGCUGGUGGAAGCCAGACUUAUUGCUGGACUCGAACUGCCAGAUGAGGUUGACCAGCAGAGGGCGCCAAAUGAGACCCUGGCAGACACAACAGGGAUGGAAAGUGGGCACACAAAGGAUGAUAGUGGUGCAACUUUCUCUCACCAAAGAUUUUUACAUUCUAUGGAAAGCGAAGAUGGACACAGGUGCAGCCCUGAUUAUAAGGGGCCAACUCAAAGAGACACCUCAGCACCACAAGAGAAAUGUUCCCCAAGACCAAUGUGCCGUCCACCUGUGUCAUCUGGUGUCUACAAGAUGGCUCAGUCAGUUUUACAGAAGUAUUCUGUCAGUGGAGGAGUCAAGGAUCUCUUAUCCCAAGUGACCAAUGAAGAUAUAAUAAUGGCCCGUGGAUGUAGCUUGACUCCGUUUCAGAGACCAGAAAGGACAUCCCAUCAGACCAAAACUAUUCAAGUGCAGAAGGGAAUAGAACCAUCCACCAUUUGUGUACCACUCCUGCUAGUCAAGUCAUGCCUGUUGAGUUACAGCUUGCUUCUAGAAUCUGCCACAUUCAAAACCUGACCACUGCAACAGCACAGUUUAACCAGCAGAGGACAGCACUUGGACAUAAAUCUCAUCCUGAAAAGAAGAGGCUGUUAUGUGAAGGUGUUUCUGUUGAUUCUACUGGGGUUUCAGCACAGACAGACUGUGUUUCCCAUAUGCCUAAACAGACGUCAGAUGUUCAGGAGGACUGGCAGACAAUGGCAGAGUAUUACAUGGCAACAUUGUGUCCCAGUGAGCUCAGAAUGUUCUGGAACCCAGCACCUCCUAAAUUCAUCUGUGCCCACUUUGUUAUGAAAGACACACUUUUCCCCAAAUACCAGAUAAAACUGGCACACCUGUGCAAAGAGAAUCUGUUGGAUGAGCUGCACAAUGUGGUGGAGUCAGUUAGCCAUGUGAUGGACACAGAACAGGCUACUUCUGAGGUUUUUUUAUUUAAAGAGAAUGUCUAA